UCCCACAGCUCGAACUCGAGACCUGUGGUUAAGCUAGGACAGCCCCAGCCAGCUGACCUAACCCCUCGGGGUUAGUGUGUCAAUUUUUUUUAAC